CGCCAGACCUACGGGAGGCAGCAGUGGGGAAUAUUGCACAAUGGGGGAAACCCUGAUGCAGCGACGCCGCGUGAGUGAAGAAGUAAUUCGUUAUGUAAAGCUCUAUCAGCAGGGAAGAAAAUGACGGUACCUGAGUAAGAAGCCCCGGCUAACUACGUGCCAGCAGCCGCGGUAAUACGUAGGGGGCAAGCGUUAUCCGGAAUUACUGGGUGUAAAGGGAGCGUAGACGGUUAAGCAAGUCUGGAGUGAAAGGCGGGGGCCCAACCCCCGGACUGCUCUGGAAACUGUGUAACUGGAGUGCAGGAGAGGUAAGCGGAAUUCCUAGUGUAGCGGUGAAAUGCGUAGAUAUUAGGAGGAACACCAGUGGCGAAGGCGGCUUACUGGACUGUAACUGACGUUGAGGCUCGAAAGCGUGGGGAGCAAACAGGAUUAGAUACCCCUGUAU
rnacentral:rRNA from 1 species